CCUACGGGUGGCUGCAGUGAGGAAUAUUGGUCAAUGGGCGCGAGCCUGAACCAGCAAAGUAGCGUGAAGGAUGACUGCCCUACGGGUUGUAAACUUCUUUUAUAAAGGAAUAAAGUGAGGCACGUGAGCAUUUUUGUAUGUACUUUAUGAAUAAGGAUCGGCUAACUCCGUGCCAGCAGCCGGGGUAAUACGGAGGAUCCGAGCGUUAUCCGGAUUUAUUGGGUUUAAAGGGAGCGUAGAUGGGUUGUUAAGUCAGUUGUGAAAGUUUGCGGCUCAACCGUAAAAUUGCAAUUGAUACUGGCAGCCUUGAGUACAGUUGAGGUAGGCGGAAUUCGUGGUGUAGCGGUGAAAUGCUUAGAUAUCACGAAGAACUCCGAUUGUGAAGGCAGCCUACUAAACUGCCACUGACAUUGAUGCUCGAAAGUGUGGGUAUCAAACAGGAUUAGAUACCCGAGUAGUC
rnacentral:rRNA from 1 species